AGUGAACGCUGGCGGUAGGCCUAACACAUGCAAGUCGAGCGGCAGCACAGAGGAGCUUGCUCCUUGGGUGGCGAGUGGCGGACGGGUGAGGAAUACAUCGGAAUCUACUCUGUCGUGGGGGAUAACGUAGGGAAACUUACGCUAAUACCGCAUACGGCCUACGGGUGAAAGCAGGGGACCUUCGGGCCUUGCGCGAUUGAAUGAGCCGAUGUCGGAUUAGCUAGUUGGCGGGGUAAAGGCCCACCAAGGCGACGAUCCGUAGCUGGUCUGAGAGGAUGAUCAGCCACACUGGAACUGAGACACGGUCCAGACUCCUACGGGAGGCAGCAGUGGGGAAUAUUGGACAAUGGGCGCAAGCCUGAUCCAGCCAUACCGCGUGGGUGAAGAAGGCCUUCGGGUUGUAAAGCCCUUUUGUUGGGAAGGAAAUCCAGCUGGCUAAUACCCGGUUGGGAUGACGGUACCCAAAGAAUAAGCACCGGCUAACUUCGUGCCAGCCGCCGCGGUAA
rnacentral:rRNA from 1 species